UAAGCGGAGGAAAAGAAACUAACAAGGAUUCCCCUAGUAACUGCGAGUGAAGCGGGAAAAGCUCAAAUUUAAAAUCUGGUGGCCUUUGUCCAUCCGAGUUGUAAUUUAGAGAAGCGUCUUCCGCGCUGGACCGUGCACAAGUCUCCUGGAAUGGAGCGUCAUAGAGGGUGAGAAUCCCGUCUUUGGCACGGACACACCAGGGCUUUUGUGAUGCGCUCUCAAAGAGUCGAGUUGUUUGGGAAUGCAGCUCAAAAUGGGUGGUGAACUCCAUCUAAAGCUAAAUAUUGGCGAGAGACCGAUAGCGAACAAGUACCGUGAGGGAAAGAUGAAAAGCACUUUGGAAAGAGAGUGAAACAGUACGUGAAAUUGUUGAAAGGGAAACGCUUGAAGUCAGUCGCGUCGCCCGAGACUCAGCCUUGCCUCGGCUUGGUGUACUUCUCGGCUGACGGGUCAGCAUCAAUUUUGCCCCUUGGAUAAUGGCGAGGGAAAUGUGACACCUUUACGGGUGUGUUAUAGUCUCUCGUCGCAUGCAAGGGUCGGGAUUGAGGAACUCAGCACGCGCCUUUGGGCGUCGGGGCGUUCGCCCACGAUACGUGCUUAGGAUGUUGGCGUAAUGNCUUUAAAC
rnacentral:rRNA from 1 species